AAAUGGUACAUUUCGACUUGUUUUUCUUUUUUACAGGUAUAGCUUAAGGAAGGUGAUGAGGACGACAUCGUGGUUCCCCUGAUUGAUCUUCUUUUGCAGUGUAAGGGUACUUAAACAGAGUAGAUUUUGAUUAUUGUAAACAACAAUUUCAGGUGCCAAGUCUAUCAAUGGUACUCUAUAUUGGAUGGCUCCUAAAGUCAUUAUCCAGAGUGCUCAUCCCGAGUCAUUGCCUUGACUGAGAGCUUCUAAAUUUCCCAAAUGAUUGUGCAACUAAGAAGGCAUUAGGUUUUUCGUUGGCGUGCAUGGUGAUGUGAGGCGUUCCAUGGUCUAUGUAUGUAUGUCGUGGGGCUCUGAUGAACGGAAAAUGAUCUAACAAUGCCUAAGAACCUUUUUAUGAGUUACCCUGCUUAAUUAUAUUUUCAGUGGGAUUUUAACAUUUUAUUUUAAAUUGCAUGAAAGAUAUUAUGUUUUAUUUUAAUAAAUGGGCC